GGGGGAGGCAAAGAAAGCAGGUGGGGUGACGCGGAGUCCCCAAGACUGGAUACGCUGAGAAGGGCGUCGGGACAGGAAGGCAAGCCCUACUGAGACUUCAGAAAGACUUAAACCCUGCAGCAGUUGCUUCCUGUUGCUCCGCUCUAUAGUCUCCUACAGAAGAUCCACGCGUCCAGGUCUCGACACUCAUUGGUUGUCCAGUGCCCUGAAGGUUUUCUAACUAGACUGAGCCCUGAAACAUCCUGGGUAUUCCUCCUGGCUCCUCACUCCGCCACUUCCUGGCUGUGCGCGCGUCUGUGGAAGGGCGCCCUCUCUGUCCAGCCCUGGAAAUAACCAGGUGCCUCACUUCCUAGGCUACCUAUAGUUUUGGCUUAACAAACUUCAUCUCUAAUCUGAUGCCUUCAAGUGACCCCCCCCCCCCAUGAAUGGCGACCGAAGCUGGACUACCUGCACCAGAUGGUGAUCUACCAUUGGAUCAUGAGACUUGGAGCCUAAAGAUCAGGGCCUGCUUCCUCAAAAUAAGAAAUUUCCCUGCAAGUUGGAAAGCUCUCAUCUUCUAAGAAAGCAAGGUUAUUAUGCCAAGAAGUCUGAUAUUGAAUAACUUCAAUAUUCUAAAUAAAUUCAACACUUUCCUCUUAGUCUAUUGGUGCAUUGUCUGCUAUGUUAUCCACCAGCCACAUGUGAGUAGUGAGCACUUGAACUGUGUCUAGUCCAAAUUGACAUGUGCUGUAAGUAUAAAAUGCAUUCUGGGGCUUCCCUGGUGGCGCA